rnacentral:rRNA from 1 species
UACAGAGGUCCCGAGCGUUGUUCGGAUUCAUUGGGCGUAAAGGGUGCGUAGGUGGCGCCGUAAGUGGGGUGUGAAAUCCCGGGGCUUAACCCCGGGAAUGCAUUCCAUACUGCGGUGCUUGAGGACUGGAGAGGAGACUGGAAUUUACGGUGUAGCAGUGAAAUGCGUAGAGAUCGUAAGGAAGACCAGUGGCGAAGGCGGGUCUCUGGACAGUUCCUGACACUGAGGCACGAAGGCCAGGGGAGCAAACGGG